CAGCAACAUAUUUCUCAAUUUCUUCAGGAUUUAAAAUCUACAAAAAAAAAAAAAAGGCAUUUACAGCUAACCAGCAAGCCACACAAGGUGCCACGGCACUAGCACCUUCCUUUGGUGAGGGCAGCGGGAGUGUGUGUGGCACAGCCAGUCGUGCAGCCUCUGGAGAGACUCCAAGGAAGACCCGGUGACAUCUGCCCGACCCGGGCGAAUAUUCAGAGCAGCAGCAAACCCCCAGUUGCUGGCAACUAUUCAGUGUGCCCAGACAACACGCAAGGGGCGUCUUUAACCAGACAGGAAAACAGAAGUGAUUCCUUUUAGACUUCCGUGGGGAGCCUUGGGAAGACACUUCCCUCAUGUUAAAACCACAGAAUGGCCCCAUGACGUUUCCUUCCAAACGGGUACUGCCUGGCCCUGAGCGUGGAGCAACAUCCAUAGGUAAGAAAGCAGACACACUGGGUGAUCGAUUACCUUGAGAGGUUGAUCUCUCCUCAUGACGGCAAGUUCUAUGUUUUUGCCACCUGACUGAACCACCUUGAAGGGGAAGAAAGAAGCAUUAGAUACCUCUACCCACUCCAGACCAAAGCAGCUCUUCCGAGUACCUUAAAUAAGCUCAAGCCUGGCACAUAGCUAACUCCAGCAUCAGGCACCGCUGUUGCACCCACCUUCCCGUGUGGUGCCUUUACCACCGUGUGAAUUUGAAAGUGCACUUACUUCCAGGAGCGCCUUGAUCACCAGCUUGAUGGUCAGAUCAUCUGUUUCAAUGGCUUCGUCAGUAUAGUUCUUCUCCAGGAACUCACGCACUGACUUGGCACCCCGGCCUAUGGCAUUGGCCUGAAACAGACACGUGUGUUCUCACGUGGCACAGGGUGCAACAACCCAGAGCCAGUCCAAGAACAUGGCCUGCCUGUGGGCUGGCCAGCCUCUGCCUGCCUCCUGUUCCCCAGGCCCUGUCCCCCGCCUGCCUUCGCAAAGAAGCAUUUACAGUUGGUGCUGAUUCUUACCAAGAAUGAGAUUAUACCUUUUAUUUCAUUAUCAAGACAUACGCAAGA